UUCCGGUUGAUCCUGCCAGAGGUCACUGCUAUCGGUGUCCGAUUAAGCCAUGCGAGUCGAGAGGUGUAAGACCUCGGCAGACUGCUCAGUAACACGUGGAUAACCUGCCCAAGGGUCCGGGAUAACCCCGGGAAACUGGGGAUAAUACCGGAUGGGUCACCAGUGCUGGAAUGCUUGGUGGUCGAAAGGUGACGCCUUUGGAUGGGUCUGCGGCGGAUUAGGUUGACGCCGGUGUAACGUACCGGCGUGCCUGUAAUCCGUACGGGUUGUGGGAGCAAGAGCCCGGAGAUGGAUUCUGAGACACGAAUCCAGGCCCUACGGGGCGCAGCAGGCGCGAAAACUCUACAAUGCAGGCAACUGCGAUAGGGGGACAUCGAGUGGCAUCCACCUUGGGUGUCUGUCCAACCGUCUAAAAAACGGUUGUUAGCAAGGGCCGGGCAAGACCGGUGCCAGCCGCCGCGGUAAUACCGGCGGCUCGAGUGGUGGCCGAUAUUAUUGAGUCUAAAGGGUCCGUAGCCGGCUUUGCAAGUCCCCUGGGAAAUCCGGCGGCUUAACCGUUGGGCUUUCAUGGGAUACUACAUUGCUUGGGACUGGGAGAGGUAGGAGGUACUCGGGGGGUAGGGGUGAAAUCCUGUAAUCCUCCGGGGACCACCGGUGGCGAAGGCGUCCUACCAGAACAGGUCCGACGGUGAGGGACGAAAGCUAGGGGCACGAACCGGAUUAGAUACCCGGGUAGUCCUAGCCGUAAACGAUGCCCGCUAGGUGUCACGACGGUCGUGAAUCGUCGUGGUGCCGUAGGGAAGCCGCGAAGCGGGCCACUUGGGAAGUACGGCCGCAAGGCUGAAACUUAAAGGAAUUGGCGGG
rnacentral:rRNA from 1 species